GUGGGGAAUUUUGGACAAUGGGCGCAAGCCUGAUCCAGCAAUGCCGCGUGCAGGAAGAAGGCCUUCGGGUUGUAAACUGCUUUUGUACGGAACGAAACGGUCCGGGUUAAUACCCUGGGCUAAUGACGGUACCGUAAGAAUAAGCACCGGCUAACUACGUGCCAGCAGCCGCGGUAAUACGUAGGGUGCAAGCGUUAAUCGGAAUUACUGGGCGUAAAGCGUGCGCAGGCGGUUUGGUAAGACAGGCGUGAAAUCCCCGGGCUCAACCUGGGAAUUGCGCUUGUGACUGCAAGGCUGGAGUGCGGCAGAGGGGGAUGGAAUUCCGCGUGUAGCAGUGAAAUGCGUAGAUAUGCGGAGGAACACCGAUGGCGAAGGCAAUCCCCUGGGCCUGCACUGACGCUCAUGCACGAAAGCGUGGGGAGCAAACAGGAUUAGAUACCCCGGUAGUCC
rnacentral:rRNA from 1 species